rnacentral:lncRNA from 1 species
ACCUCUACCUCUACCUCCUCUACCUCUACCUCUACCACUACCUCUACCUCCUCUACCUCUACCACUACCUCCUCUACCUCCUCUACCUCUACCUCUACCACUACCUCUACCUCUACCUCUACCUCUACCUCCUCUACCUCUACCUCUUCCUCUACCUCCUCUUAUGCCCUUACAUGUAACAAGCAGAAUCAUAUUUUACAAUACAGUUCAACAACAUGUUUGGAAGUAUUAGGAAAUGAAUGAGUAUAAAUAAAAGUUCUAAGUAAUUAUUAUAUAUUUUGAAGUAUCUUAUAUGAUUUGUGGCAAUGAGAGCGUUAUGAAAAAAACUGGACAUGAAGCUCAGUUAUAAAGUACACAGUACAGGGAGUUUUGGUACAACAAACCAAAAAAUCCCAAAUGUAAUCCAAAUUCAACAUGUAUCAAGGAAAAGUAGCUUCAGGAUUUGGAGAACUACUGAACAUAUUCAACAUGUGGCGCAACGAUCGAAACCGCUAGGCUACCUGCCGCCCACGAUGUCUGAACGUUCAAUAUUACCUGGCACCACAGGCGAGUCAAAUACACAAUACUUUGUAGUAAAAAAAAAACUGUAAUAAAUACAAAACAGAUGAAAAAAAACCACUAAUAAAGACGUAUAAAUAUGGACUGAAAGCCUCAAUUGUAUCGAAAUACCGUAAAUAUACUUUGGCAAAAGCAGUAACAGAAAAAUCACAGUUUCUGGACCCAGAAGCGCAACAUCAGAGACUUCCGGGAACGCUUGUGAAACAGACCAAGAGGACCAGGCCAGGGUUUGGGGGUUUGACAAGUCAAUGAGAGAAGUGAAGAAUUCUUCCUUAGUUGUUAAUUUUCUCCUAAUCUAAAGGCACAACCUAGAUUGGAGCCAAUGUCUUAAAUACUCUCUAUAUACAAAAGUAUGUGGACACCCCUUCAAAUGAGUGGAUUUGGCUAUUUCAGCCACACCUGUUGCUGACAGGUGUAUACAAUCGAGCACACAGACAUGCAAUCUCCAUAGACAAACAUUGGCAGUAGAAUGGCCUUACUGAAGCGCUUAGUGACCUUCAACGUGGCACCAUCAUAGGAUGCCACCUUUCCAACAAGUCAGUUCAUCAAAUUUCUGCCCUGCUAGAGCUGCCCUGCUAGAGCUGCCCUGCUAGAGCUCCCUGCCCGGUCAACUGUAAGUACUGUUAUUAUGAAGUGGAAACGUCUAGGAGUAACAAUGGCUCAGGCGCGAAGUAGAAGCCCAAGGUCACAGAACAGGACUGGGAGUGGAGACAUGUUGGCUGGAGGGGGUUGGGGGGAUGGGAGAGUGGGAGUGGAGACAGGUUGGAUGGAGGGGGUUGGGACCUGAUGACGUGUUCUGCACAUGGGCAGUUCAGGACGAGACAACCGUUAGACCUGAUGAUGUGUUCUGCACAUGGGCAGUUCAGGAUGACCGUUAGACCUGAUGACGUGUUCUGCACAUGGGUAGUUCAGAGCGACCGUUAGACCUGAUGACGUGUUCUGCACAUGGGCAGUUCAGGACGACCGUUAGACCUGAUGACGUGUUCUGCACAUGGGCAGUUCAGAGCGACCGUUAGACCUGAUGACGUGUUCUGCACAUGGGCAGUUCAGGAUGACCGUUAGACCUGAUGAUGUGUUCUGCACAUGGGCAGUUCAGGACAACCGUUAGACCUGAUGACGUGUUCUGCACAUGGGC